ACAUGCAGUCGAACGGUAACAGGAAGAAGCUUGCUUCUUUGCUGACGAGUGGCGGACGGGUGAGUAAUGUCUGGGAAACUGCCUGAUGGAGGGGGAUAACUACUGGAAACGGUAGCUAAUACCGCAUAACGUCGCAAGACCAAAAAGGGGGACCUUCGGGCCUCUUGCCAUCGGAUGUGCCCAGAUGGGAUUAGCUAGUAGGUGGGGUAACGGCUCACCUAGGCGACGAUCCCUAGCUGGUCUGAGAGGAUGACCAGCCACACUGGAACUGAGACACGGUCCAGACUCCUACGGGAGGCAGCAGUGGGGAAUAUUGCACAAUGGGCGCAAGCCUGAUGCAGCCAUGCCGCGUGUAUGAACAAAGCCUUCGGGUUGUAAAGUACUUUCAGCG
rnacentral:rRNA from 1 species